rnacentral:rRNA from 1 species
GAAUUUUGGACAAUGGGGGAAACCCUGAUCCAGCCAUCCCGCGUGUGCGAUGAAGGCCUUCGGGUUGUAAAGCACUUUUGGCAGGGAAGAAAAGGUUCUGGCUAAUACCCGGAACUGCUGACGGUACCUGCAGAAUAAGCACCGGCUAACUACGUGCCAGCAGCCGCGGUAAUACGUAGGGUGCAAGCGUUAAUCGGAAUUACUGGGCGUAAAGCGUGCGCAGACGGUUAUAUAAGACAGAUGUGAAAUCCCCGGGCUCAACCUGGGAACUGCAUUUGUGACUGUAUAGCUAGAGUACGGUAGAGGGUGAUGGAAUUCCGCGUGUAGCAGUGAAAUGCGUAGAUAUGCGGAGGAACACCGAUGGCGAAGGCAAUCCCCUGGACCUGUACUGACGCUCAUGCACGAAAGCGUGGGGAGCAAACAG